UUAAUCGACUUUAACGUAGGCUACUCGUUUAAGUGUAAUUUAUGCAAUUUUAACAUGAAAGCGACGCCUACUCAUGAAUAAUUAACGAAGCAAGUCUGAAUAAGUACUUCUAAACUUACCUUUUUUUUUUUUUUUUUUUUUUAAUGAGGCUUUAUAUGAAAAUAAAGUUAGGUUUAAUGUGCUGUCCUUUUAAAAAGUUAAACUUUAAUUAACGUACUCGUGUAGACGACGUAUCAGAAGGGACCUCCGUCAAGGCACGCCUACAUUGUAAUAAUUAAUUUACAUAAUUAUAUUAAAGUGCCAGCAGGCAAGUCUAAACAAGUCUCUGUAGGAGCAAUAAAUUAACGAUAUUAAAUGUAAGUCUAAUACAUGACUGUGAUUUUAACUGCGAUUUGUUUAAUAGAUAUAUAAUGAAUCAAGACAAGAGUUUGGAAAAAAGCUUAUUACACCAAAUUUAUUUUUUGUUUACUUUUGCAUUAAGGCAGUUCUGGAGUGUGUGGAAGAGGUGUGAACACAAGGUGGCAGUGUUGUGACGUGUACAUAUGGAUUGGUCAUUUGUGUCUGCAGGCAACAAUCAAGUACAAGACAGUCAAACUGAACAACUUGCACCUCGGCAACAAAAAUAGAACCCAAAAUAAUACUAUGUGCAGGAUGCAUACUAUUAAAAACAUAUGAUUAUAUAAUCAUAUAAAAAAGACUAUAAGGCAUGUAUAAUCAACACAGAAAUAGUAAGAAGAGUAUUUUUUUCCAAACAUAAUCCAAAUUGGUGUAAAAAUUCAGUCUUUUGGCAGUCUGAUCAAACAAUAAAUCAGAUGUUUUAU